rnacentral:tRNA from 1 species
UUCCUGAGAGCUCAGAUGGUAAAGAAUCUGUCUGCAAUGCAGGAGACCCCAGUUCAAUUUCUGGGUUGGGAAG